rnacentral:misc_RNA from 1 species
GAUGAAGAACGCAGCGAAAUGCGAUAAGUAAUGCGAAUUGCAGAAUUUCCGUGAGUCAUCGAAUCUUUGAACGCACAUUGCGCCCGCCAGCAUUCUGGCGGGCAUGCCUGUUCGAGCGUCAUUUCAACCCUCGACCUCCCCUUGGGGAGGUCGGCGUUGGGGACCGGCAGCACACCGCCGGCCCUGAAAUGGAGUGGCGGCCCGUCUGCGGCGACCUCUGCGUAGUAAUACAGCUCGCACCGGAACCCCGACGCGGCCACGCCGUAAAACACCCAACUUCUGAACGUUGACCUCGAAUCAGGUAGGACUACCCGCUGAACUUAAGCAUAUCAAUAAGCGGAGGA